rnacentral:misc_RNA from 1 species
UUUCCGUUCGUGAACCUGCGGAAGGAUUAUUAAUGAUUGACCCUCUGGGUCUUAUCUUAACAUCCCUCACCUCUGUGAACCGUUUGACCUCCGGGUCUUACAACCUAUAACAAACAUCAGUGUAAAGAACGUCUUGUGAUCUUAACAAAAACAAAACUUUCAACAACGGGUCUCUUGGCUCUCGCAUCGAUGAAGAACGCAGC